rnacentral:lncRNA from 1 species
GUAUUUCUAAUCAAUCAAAUUAUUUUAAUCCAGCCCAUUAUAUUUAUGGCUAUUUAAAAAAUAUUUUUUACAAAUAUAUAUAAUUAGCUAAUUAUUAAUGAUGUGAUGUAAGUAUCGCAUAAUAGAUAUCAUCCAUAAUCGUGGACUCGUGAUGUCGAUAGGUACGGACAUUCGAAAUUUUAUUCGAUUUCAAAUCCGAACAGAACGAAUAUAUUCGAUACUAAAUAAAUAUAAUUUUAGAUAUGAAUAUUAACAAUAAAAAUCCGACGGAUAUAAAUUCGGAUAUGAAUUUUGACCGUGCCCGAUCUGAAUCCGAAUCCAAAUUUAUUUUACAUGAUAUAUAAUAUGUAUAUAAAAAUUUAAUUUUAUAUUUGAAUUUACAUUUUAAAAAUUUAAAUUAAAUAUAAUAUAUUUUAAAAUAUUAAAAGGAGAAAUAAUUAUUUCGGUUAGUCAGAUUAUGGGUUUGGAUAUGGAUUUUUAAUUUAUUUUAUAUUAUAUAUAAUAUGUAUAUAAAAAUUUAAUUUUAUAUUUGAAUUUAUAUUUUAAAAAUUUAGAUUUAAUGUAAUAUAUUUUGAAAUAUUAAAAGUAGAAAUAAUUGUUUCGGGCUCGGAUUCGAGUUUCGAAUUUUUGGUCGAGUUAUGAGUUUGGAUAUAAAGUUUUAAAAUUCAUCAGGUUCGGAUUCAAUUUCGGAUUUCAGGUUUGGAGUUGGUUUCGGGUUCGGAUAUUUGAAAGUCCGCCUUGAAUCCGACCCGUUAA